rnacentral:rRNA from 1 species
GACAAACGCUGGCGGCGUGUAUUAGGCAUGCAAGUCGCACGGACCUUCGGGUCAGUGGCGGACGGGUGAGUAACACGUGGGUAACCUGCCUCGCAGUGGGGAAUAACCCAUCGAAAGAUGGGCUAAUACCGCAUACCACUCCCGGUGAGAAUCCGGGUAGUAAAAGUAGUAAUGCGCUGUGAGAGGGGCCCGCGGCCGAUUAGCUAGUUGGUGGGGUAAUGGCCUACCAAGGCGACGAUCGGUAGCUGGUCUGAGAGGAUGGUCAGCCACACGGGGACUGAGAUACGGCCCCGACACCUACGGGUGGCUG